rnacentral:rRNA from 1 species
GAUGAACGCUAGCGGCAGGCUUGAUACAUGCAAGUCGAGGGGUAGCAAGAUUGUAGCAAUACAAUUGUUGACGACCGACAAACGGGUGCGGAACACGUACACAACCUUCCUACAAGUGGGGAAUAGCCCAGAGAAAUUUGGAUUAAUACCCCGUAACAUAGCCAUGUGGCAUCACAGUGCUAUUAUAGCUUCGGCGCUUGUUGCUGGGUGUGCGGCUGAUUAGAUAGUUGGCGGGGUAACGACCCACCAAGUCUACGAUCAUUAGCUGAUGUGAGAGCAUGAUCAGCCACACGGGAACUGAGACACGGGCCCGACUCCUACGGGAGGCAGCAGUAAGGAAUAUUGGACAAUGGACGCAAGUCUGAUCCAGCCAUGCCGCGUGAAGGAUUAAGGUCCUCUGGAUUGUAAACUUCUUUUAUAAGGGACGAAAAAAGGUCUUUCUAGAUCGUCUGACGGUACCUUAUGAAUAAGCACCGGCUAACUCCGUGCCAGCCGCCGCCGUAAUAC